GAUAGACUUGCUCUUAUGAGUUAGCGGCGGACGGGUGAGUACACGUGGGUACCUGCCCAUAAGACUGGGAUAACUCCGGGAAACCGGGGCUAAUACCGGAUAACAUUUUGAACUGCAUGGUUCGAAAUUGAAAGGCGGCUUCGGCUGUCACUUAUGGAUGGACCCGCGUCGCAUUAGCUAGUUGGUGAGGUAACGGCUCACCAAGGCAACGAUGCGUAGCCGACCUGAGAGGGUGAUCGGCCACACUGGGACUGAGACACGGCCCAGACUCCUACGGGAGGCAGCAGUAGGGAAUCUUCCGCAAUGGACGAAAGUCUGACGGAGCAACGCCGCGUGAGUGAUGAAGGCUUUCGGGUCGUAAAACUCUGUUGUUAGGGAAGAACAAGUGCUAGUUGAAUAAGCUGGCACCUUGACGGUACCUAACCAGAAAGCCACGGCUAACUACGUGCCAGCAGCCGCGGUAAUACGUAG
rnacentral:rRNA from 1 species